rnacentral:rRNA from 1 species
GAUGAACGCUGGCGGCGUGCCUAAUACAUGCAAGUCGAGCGAACGGACGAGAAGCUUGCUUCUCUGAUGUUAGCGGCGGACGGGUGAGUAACACGUGGAUAACCUACCUAUAAGACUGGGAUAACUUCGGGAAACCGGAGCUAAUACCGGAUAAUAUUUUGAACCGCAUGGUUCAAAAGUGAAAGACGGUCUUGCUGUCACUUAUAGAUGGAUCCGCGCUGCAUUAGCUAGUUGGUAAGGUAACGGCUUACCAAGGCAACGAUGCAUAGCCGACCUGAGAGGGUGAUCGGCCACACUGGAACUGAGACACGGUCCAGACUCCUACGGGAGGCAGCAGUAGGGAAUCUUCCGCAAUGGGCGAAAGCCUGACGGAGCAACGCCGCGUGAGUGAUGAAGGUCUUCGGAUCGUAAAACUCUGUUAUUAGGGAAGAACAUAUGUGUAAGUAACUGUGCACAUCUUGACGGUACCUAAUCAGAAAGCCACGGCUAACUACGUGCCAGCAGCCGCGGUAAUACGUAGGUGGGCAGCGUUAUCCGGAAUUAUUUGGGCGUAAGCGCGCGUANGCGGUUUUUUAAGUCUGAUGUGAAAGCCCACGGCUCACCCGUGGAGGGUCAUUGGAAACUGGAAAACUUGAGUGCAGAAGAGGAAAGUGGAAUUCCAUGUGUAGCGGUGAAAUGCGCAGAGAUAUGGAGGAACACCAGUGGCGAAGGCGACUUUCUGGUCUGUAACUGACGCUGAUGUGCGAAAGCGUGGGGAUCAAACAGGAUUAGAUACCCUGGUAGUCCACGCCGUAAACGAUGAGUGCUAAGUGUUAGGGGGUUUCCGCCCCUUAGUGCUGCAGCUAACGCAUUAAGCACUCCGCCUGGGGAGUACGACCGCAAGGUUGAAACUCAAAGGAAUUGACGGGGACCCGCACAAGCGGUGGAGCAUGUGGUUUAAUUCGAAGCAACGCGAAGAACCUUACCAAAUCUUGACAUCCUUUGACAACUCUAGAGAUAGAGCUUUCCCCUUCGGGGGACAAAGUGACAGGUGGUGCAUGGUUGUCGUCAGCUCGUGUCGUGAGAUGUUGGGUUAAGUCCCGCAACGAGCGCAACCCUUAAGCUUAGUUGCCAUCAUUAAGUUGGGCACUCUAAGUUGACUGCCGGUGACAAACCGGAGGAAGGUGGGGAUGACGUCAAAUCAUCAUGCCCCUUAUGAUUUGGGCUACACACGUGCUACAAUGGACAAUACAAAGGGCAGCGAAACCGCGAGGUCAAGCAAAUCCCAUAAAGUUGUUCUCAGUUCGGAUUGUAGUCUGCAACUCGACUACAUGAAGCUGGAAUCGCUAGUAAUCGUAGAUCAGCAUGCUACGGUGAAUACGUUCCCGGGUCU